rnacentral:rRNA from 1 species
UACGUAGGGGGCAAGCGUUAUCCGGAUUUACUGGGUGUAAAGGGAGCGUAGACGGAUGGACAAGUCUGAUGUGAAAGGCUGGGGCUCAACCCCGGGACUGCAUUGGAAACUGCCCGUCUUGAGUGCCGGAGAGGUAAGCGGAAUUCCUAGUGUAGCGGUGAAAUGCGUAGAUAUUAGGAGGAACACCAGUGGCGAAGGCGGCUUACUGGACGGUAACUGACGUUGAGGCUCGAAAGCGUGGGGAGCAAACAGGAUUAGAUACCCUGUCCGGCUGACUGACU